rnacentral:rRNA from 1 species
CCUACGGGAGGCAGCAGUUGGGAAUAUUGGUCAAUGGGCGAGAUCCUGAACCAGCCAUGCCGCGUGCAGGAAGACGGCCUUCUGGGUUGUAAACUGCUUUUAUAUGGGAAGAAAACGUCCUUGCGAGGCAGAUUGACGGUACCAUAUGAAUAAGCACCGGCUAACUCCGUGCCAGCAGCCGCGGUAAUACGGAGGGUGCAAGCGUUGUUCGGAUUUAUUGGGUUUAAAGGGUACGUAGGCGGCCAAUUAAGUCAGAGGUGAAAGCCAGCAGCUCAACUGUUGAACUGCCAUUGMUACUGAUUGGUUCGARUUCUGUUAAGGUAGGCGGAAUUGAUGGGGUAGCGGUGAAAUGCAUAGAUUCCAUCAGGAACACCGAUUGCGAAGGCAGCUUACUAGGCAGAAACUGACGCUAAUGUACAAGAGCGUGGGGAUCGAAAAGGAUUAGAUACCCUGGUAG